UACAGAGGUCUCAAGCGUUGUUCGGAUUCAUUGGGCGUAAAGGGCGCGUAGGUGGCAUGGUAAGUCGGAUGUGAAAUCCCGGGGCUUAACCCCGGAACUGCAUUCGAUACUGCCAGGCUAGAGUACUGGAGAGGAGAUUGGAAUUUACGGUGUAGCAGUGAAAUGCGUAGAUAUCGUAAGGAAGACCAGUGGCGAAGGCGGAUCUCUGGACAGUUACUGACACUGAGGCACGAAGGCCAGGGGAGCAAACGGG
rnacentral:rRNA from 1 species